rnacentral:lncRNA from 1 species
AUCUAAUUAAUGUAAAAACUUCAAAUACACCCCUGUAGGUUCGUACUUUUUCACUUUAAUACCCUGUGAUACAUCAAUUUAGUACCCUAUGGUUUCACACUCUCUCACUUUAGUGUCUUGUAAUUUAAAGUGCAUCUAUUUAGUACCCUGUGAUUUUAUUUUUCUCUUUUCGUCGGCUUUUUUGUUAAUAUUUUGUUAAAUUAUAUACAAAAAAACUUCAAAUACCCUACCUAAAUUUAUCGAAUGUUUACUUUAGUACCCUUUAGUUUUAACUUUGUUACUGAUUUUUUUUCUUCCAUUAAUAUUUGGUUAAACUAUAUACAAAAAAACUUUAGAUACCCUACCUAGGUUUAUCGAAUAUUCACUUUAGUACCAUUUAAUUUUAACUUUAUCACUGAUUUAACAAAAAAAUUAGUGAAAUGGGUAAUAAAAAGAGAAAAAUAAAACCAGACGGUAAUAACUUGAUACACUUUAAACUACAGGACACUAAAGUGAGAAAGUGCGAAACCAUAGGGGCUAACUUGAUACAAUGGAUAAUAAAAAGAGAAAAAUGAAACCAUAGGGUACUAACUUGAUACAUUUUAAACCACAGAGUACUAAAGUGAGAAAGUGUGAAAGUGGUGAAACUAGGUUGGGGGGGGGGGGAGAGUUUACCCUUAAUUAAUUAUACAAGGAAAGAAGACACAAUAUAUCGUACUAAAAAAAGAAUUCUAGGAGUUCGUAGUUUAGGGCAUGUUUGUUUCAUCAAAAUUGGACUUUGAGUUGAAGUGGACUUUGAAUUGAAAUGGACUUCGGUAAAAAUUAUUUCUUUUCUACUGUUUGUUUCGUAGUUAUAAAAGUGAAGUUUCAUUAGUUCUGCUGUUUAUUUGAUAGGAAGUGUAUAAUAUAAAACUAUAAUUUAUGUAUAAAUAAUAAAUAAUUUAAUAAAUAAAAAUAAUAUAAUUAUAUUUUUUAUAUAAUUAAAAUUUAAUUUAAAACAACUAUAUUACUUUUUAAACAUAAAUUACAGUAAUACAGCAAUAAAAUUAUAAAGUAAAAAAAAUUAAUACUUAAUUAAUUAAUUUUUAUAAUAUUUAAUUGUACAAAUUAAAUAAAGAAAAUAUUAAAAUUUUACUAAUCAAUUUUUAUCAUAUUUUAAAUAUGUCAACUAAAUAAAAAAAAUAAUUAGUACCAUAAUUAAAUAUAUUUAAAUAUAACUAUCUUUACGUAGUAUAUUAUUUUAUUAUUUUUUUUUCAUCUCUUUUUACCGUAAUUGAUUUCGGCCCAUGAUCCUGUUUUAGGUUAACUCGAGUUUCGACCGUAAUUUAUUUACAGCUAGUCAAACAAUGGAAGUAAUCGUUUACGGCGAAAACGAUUUUCCUUCUCUCCACUUCUACGCCAAUUCCACCCAAACAAACAUGCCCUAAAACGUAAAGAUGGAGCGGCAUUAGCUGUUUCCUAUUCAUCGAUCUCUUCUCCGACUCCUCAUGCACUUCGAUCUUUUUUUAAAUCUUUUCUCUUUUUUUCUGUUCUUUUCUUUUCAAAUAAUAUAAUAUAAUAACUAAUUAAUAUAAAAAAAAUAAAUAUGAUAUUAAUUAAUAUUUAUAUUAUUUU